UGACUCAUAUGAAGAUUAUCUUUUUAGAAGAGACCUUGAGAACAUACUCUGGAUUUAGGGGACGAAAAAUAUGAACAACUCAAGCUUGAAGAAAUAUUACCCCACCAAUGCCCAAGAUAGUCUAAAGCCUGAAUUUGAAGAUGCAUGAAACACCAAAGAGGAAAUAUGUCAAAUCAAGUUGUUUAUUAUUUGAUCUUGAAGAUGAUCCAG